UACGGAGGGUGCAAGCGUUGUUCGGAUUUACUGGGCGUAAAGGGCUCGUAGGCGGCCAACUAAGUCAGACGUGAAAUCCCUCGGCUUAACCGGGGAACUGCGUCUGAUACUGGAUGGCUUGAGUUCGGGAGAGGGAUGUGGAAUUCCAGGUGUAGCGGUGAAAUGCGUAGAUAUCUGGAGGAACACCGGUGGCGAAGGCGGCUCCUGGACCGACACUGACGCUGAGGCGCGAAAGCUAGGGGAGCAAACGGG
rnacentral:rRNA from 1 species